rnacentral:rRNA from 1 species
AGCAGCCGCGGUAAUUCCAGCUCCAAUAGCGUAUAUUAAAGUUGUUGCAGUUAAAAAAGCUCGUAGUUGAAUUUCGGGAUCAGUUGAUCGGUCGUGCCUCGGUACGUACUGGUCAAAUUGAUUCCUACCUUCUGACGAACCACGAUGUCAUUAAUUUGAUGUCGCGGGAAAUCAGGACUGUUACUUUGAAAAAAGUUAGAGUGUUUAAAGCAGGCUCGCGCUUGAAUACAUUAGCAUGGAAUAAUGAAAUAGGACGUUUGAUUCUAUUUUGUUGGUUUCUAGGAUCGACGUAAUGAUUAAUAGGGAUAGUUGGGGGCAUUAGUAUUCAAUUGUCAGAGGUGAAAUUCUUGGAUUUAUUGAAGACUAACUACUGCGAAAGCAUUUUGCCAAGGAUGUUUUCAUUAAUCAAGAACGAAAGUUAGGGGAUCGAAGACGAUCAGAUACCGUCGUAGUCUUAACCAUAAACUAUGCCGACUAGGGAUCGGAUGAUGUUAAUUUUUUCAAUGACUCAUUCGGCGCC